ensembl:lncRNA uncharacterized LOC114784769
CUAGAAUCACAUGCACUGGAUAGGCGCUCGCGGGAUGGCAGUGCUUGGCCUGCCACUAACCACGAGUUUGCCCCCGAGGAGUCAACAUUGUGAAGAGAUGUGGGACAAAGGGCUACACUCAGAGCUGAUCUCAGCACUGACCGGCUGAGGAUCUGCUCAAGUGAUAGAUAUUAGAAAACUUCACAUUCCUUUUUAUUUGGUGUUUUUUUUCUGACAAGGCCAUAAUUCCUCUGGCUUCGGAGAUUUCAGUGUUUAUCCAUUUCUGGCAUUUUGGGUGGUUUCCACAGCACCAGGACCAAAGUGCUUCUCCUAACCACCCAAUCACCCACCCCCACGCCGAGAGUCGUGUGUCGGAGGCCACAAUGAAGUGUGUGAAACCUGAGAGCGGUUGCAACGGCUACGUCCGCAGUAGACGGCUGUCACCCGAAUGCUAUCAAGAAGGAGUCGAUCAGGACUUAACCCUCACUGAGCACAUGGACCAACCCUCUGGAUGGAGGAGGGGAGAUGUGGAUUUAAGUCAUUGGACAGAUCUGAACGAAGAGACUUUGAAGAGAGAAGCCCAGUACAGACAGCCCACGUGCCAAGGCCUAAGACCAGCAAGCUGCACCGAGGGUGGAGGUAAACUGGACACCUGGCUGCAGCAGCUUAACAAGAUGUGGAGGCGACGUCAUUCUGGUGGCGGAAGUAUGGAUGACCGUGAUAUCUGCGUUCAUAUGCCACCUUUCUCAGACAGAACCAUGUCCAUGCCUGUCCUACACAAUGAAGCAAUGGUGCCUGCAGGACCUUCCUACCACCAUCCCACUCGCCACAGUAAGGACUUCACCUCCGGAAAAAGCCACAGCCUGACUGAGACGCCUCCGGGCAGCACCGAAGCACUUUGGUCUAUGGAGAGUUCAGGCAGCACAGAGAUGGUCCACAUCACAAAAACGCAUAGGGUGGAGCAGCCUCGUAUCUGCUCCCUGACCCCAGUUAGGAUUGGUUGGCUGCCUGUGCAGAGGAGGCUUAUGGUGAAUGAAAUCCCACGCAAUGGCAAUCAUCUUCAAAGCGAUGUUCAAGAUGGUACCUGCAAGGUGAAGCUGAAACCUCCUAUCACUCCCAUACUCAACAGAUAUCAAGGGAAAAUCAAUGGCUUUGGGCCUUCAGAUGGAGGGGUGGAGAGGAGUCAUGCCCGCCCAAUCAUGGCCAAUUGUACCACACCACCCUGGACUCCCCUUGGACAAGACGCCAGUUCGUCCUCUUCUGAACAGGUCAUCAGUAGGAAGCUCCAGGCUUCAACUGAGGGUGCCAAAGACGAUACAAAGAACCGGUCCUCAGGAACACAAGCACCAUCCAGGAAAGUCCCAAUACAGAGGACACAGUCUUUAAACAACACCACACGCCCCACCACGACUCAGACAAGGACUGGCUUCUCUUCAAUCUCCAUCACCUCCAGGAAAGUCACUCGGUCAUCUAGUCUCACAGGAUCAGAUAACCUUUCUGAGCCCCCUAGGGUGAGAAACACCUCUGGUGACAUGAAUGCCUCUGUGGUCAGCCUUAGACGCAAGGCCAUCAUGAUAAAGAUGACUGAGCACAAGGUAACCACCUCCUCAAGCUCCACUGGCCAGGGUGAAGGGUCACUUAAUGGCCCCCAAACAGUCAUUGAUGCUACAGUAAAAAACAUGCCGCAGAUGGAGACGGUCACCCUCAGAAAGAAGACAACAGUUGUGAAAGUGACUGAGCAGGAACAAAACUAUAAGCAUUUUCAAGAGCCAGGUCAUGUUAAAGCUCAAGUGAGGUCAAAGUUCAGACACAGUUACUCUGAGGGUGUUCAGCCAAAUAUCAGCAAUCCUUAUCCAAGCCCUUUGGCACCCCCUGACAAACCCAAUACUACUCCACAUUUUACGAGAUCGGUGUCUAUGCAGUAUGAGGAACCCCCAAGGAACGUCCCCAAACUUCACCGGUCUACCUUGUGCCUCUACAUCAGUCCAUCUUCCCCAAAAGACUCUACAGCUGACGAUAAGGCUCCUUUACAAUGUAGAAGGCCAGUGAGCUGCGAUGUGUCAGCACUGGUUCUUCAGCAGCCUGACUUUGAUACCCUCUCCAAUCCCCUGCCUUCCAAGCUGGAGAAAAAGGGGUUUCCCCAGAUGAUAAAUAUUGACACAGUCAGAUCCAGUGCAAACAGGUGGUCAGCCUCAGACACCACAUCUGUGCGCCUGCAGGCAGGAUCUCCCAUUCAGGCAAAAGCAGUGGAGGGAAAGCCCUGGCCUCAGGCUGUCAACGAGAACCAGCUGCCACCGGGACUCCACGACAGAUACGGAGAUAUUCCUCUACCUGCCCCAGACUCUGCUCUGGCACUCAGUGCAGCGACCAUUAUAGCCAACAUUAAAUGUCAGAGACAACUGGGCAGAAAGGAGGCUGUUAAAAGGAACUCUGAAAACGAGACUCAGGGAACCCCAGGGAGAAAUACAGCAGCAAAGGAUUCUGGGAGUGAUGAACAACCACAGCAAAAUUCCCUUAAAGAGGUCUCUGAAGGGGAGCACCAGUGGGGUUUAAGACGUCCACAUUCAGAAUUCAUCCUGCUCACAUCCAAUUCAGAUCCUCAGUCAAACCUGUUCUCUCUCAGAGAGGCCCUUGAAAGACGCAGGCCAGACUUUAUUACCCACUCUGAGGGUAGAGUGAGGGAUCUGCAAAGACGGGCCCAGGAAAGACGUGCCUCACACAACUUCCACAAAAAUGCCCAAACGGCAUCCAGAAAUGGAGGUCCAGGCAAAGAUAUCCUUUUCAGAAACACAGAUAGAUCCAUUUUUAGGAGGGAGAAACAGCCAAGAUGUCGGAACCUGGAUAUGAAAAGGAGAAGAGAAGAGAAGCGGAAAGAUGUGUCACAGGCCAACAGACUGAGAGCCGAGCUCUUUAAGAAGAAAUUGCUGGACCAGCUUCUCCACAGAGGCACAGACUGAGGAUGCGCUGAAAACCACAGAACCAGGACUGUUUUGGUUAACUCUAUUUUGACUGAUGUUGUUCCCGACACCUGCUGUUCAUCACAUAAGUUUUGAUUCAGUCAAACAAAACAUAAUCCCCUCUCGGUAUCUAUGGUAUACUUUUCAUUCCCUGUGGGGGUGGGCUUUCUUGCUUCUACAUAUGCCAUAGCACAUCUGCAAUAAUGAUGAUUAUUACAUGUGGGCAAGUCAAAGAGAAAGGUUUGAUGUGAUAAAUUAAUUUACUGUAACGCAUUAAUGUGAGUGACUGAGACACAAUGAGUUGUAGUCAACACAGUAGAUAGCUUAAAUAGGUUAAAUUGAACAGCAAACAUCUGAUGUGAGUGACAUUUAAAUAUAUGACAUAAAAAUAUGUCUAGAGACCAUGCAAUCUAAAAACAAUGCAAGACUGGACUACAGGACCGGAUACAGAAUCGCAAAACUCCCCAACCCAUUGUCCAUUAGCUCCAGGAAUUUGACCCCUCAGCAUGGGAAUUCCCUGCUAAUGAAGACUCAAGGCUGGAUGCAUCUGAAUGGGCUGAUUGUAUGUGGGCUGCCAGAUCAGCCAAUGAGCAGUUAGGCCAUGCUGUUCUACGACAAUGUGCAGAUCCUGGAGGAGACUGCUUCAGCAUAGAGUCUAAAACUGAGUAGAUAAUUUUAAAUAUUAUCAGUAAGGGUAGUAGUAGCCUAGUAUGUAACACACUCACCUAGGAACCAGAAGACCAAAGUUGUCUCCUUGAGCAAAAAAACUACUGAUUGUAAGUCUGAUUGUAUGCCAUAAAUGUAAGCUCAUACUAUUCCUACAUUAUUGUACUAUAUAAAUAAAAGUAACAUACAGCAGUGUACA